UUUUUUUUUUUUUUUUUUUUUUUUUUUUUUUUUUUUUUUUUUUUGCUGUUUGUUCUUCUGAAGAAACGGUCA
rnacentral:ribozyme from 1 species